rnacentral:lncRNA from 1 species
UGGUCGCCUCGUUCCGUUCGAUUCCAGAAAGCCGCGCCGGCCCCAGUCCCCAUGGGCUGAAGGCAGGUUGAGUUCUUCCCCAGGUCUGCGAGCCUCGAAGGCUUCUUUCAGACAGCAGACCCCUUAGAAGCGCAAGGCUGCUUUCUGACAAAGAAUCAAGUGUUCCUUUCAACCAGCCAAGGGACUGGUUUUCUCGCUGACCCUUUGACAGCUCCAGCCGGUCCCUCCAUUCGAGGUCCCUGACUUCCUGCAACAGACUGAGAUGGCCUUCUGAGCUUUUCCAGGGCUGACGACCACCUUCUUGAUACCUUCCCCUCUCUCGUUCUGAAUCCGUGCCCACCAGAUGGGGCCGUCUAGUUGCAGGAAAACAAGCUCAGGGCUCCCACUGAUUCUACAUGAUGGGAAUCCAGGCUUUCGGAGAUGAGGACUGGGAGGUCUCCAGACCACACAAGCCCCCUAUUUGCACUGGCCUUUGGAAUGAGCCUACAGCCUGCCUCCACUCCUCCUGGUACCCCAGCUGUUCUCAAGGAAUUGGCCAGAAGUCAGACUCCUUUCCCAGCUGUCCUCCACUUCUUUCCUGCCAGGCACCCUAGGCCCCAUGGUGGGAUUGGGCCUAUAGGCUGUGAUUUUCCACAUCCUUGUCAAACCUGUACUACCUGAAUGCCUAGAGGAAAAGAUACUGCCUUAAUUACUAUUAUGAGCA